UACGUACGAGGCGAGCGUUAUCCGGAAUUACUGGGCGUAAAGCGCGCGCAGGCGGAUGCUUAAGUAGGGCGUGAAAUCUCCCGGCCUAACUGGGAGGGGUCGCUCUAGACUGGGCGUCUUGAGGACAGCAGAGGUGGGUGGAAUUCCUGGUGUAGUGGUGAAAUGCGUAGAUAUCGGGAGGAACACCAGUGGCGAAGGCGACUUCCUGGCCUGUUCUUGACGCUGAGGCGCGAAAGCUAGGGGAGCAAACGGG
rnacentral:rRNA from 1 species